CUAAGCGUGAAGCCGACCCAAAGAUAAGAUAUCCCACUGAUUGAAUCAGGUAAGAUUCCUUGUAGACUACGAGGUUGAUAGGCACGAUGUGUAAGUGGAGCGAUCCAUUCAGCAAGUGUGUACUAAUAGAUCGAGGGCUUGACCAC
rfam:Faecalibacterium prausnitzii A2-165 genomic scaffold Scfld7, whole genome shotgun sequence.